rnacentral:rRNA from 1 species
GACGAACGCUGGCGGCGUGCCUAAUACAUGCAAGUAGAACGCUGAAGGAGGAGCUUGCUUCUCCGGAUGAGUUGCGAACGGGUGAGUAACGCGUAGGUAACCUGCCUGGUAGCGGGGGAUAACUAUUGGAAACGAUAGCUAAUACCGCAUAAGAGUAGAUGUCGCAUGACAUUUGCUUAAAAGGUGCAACUGCACCACUACCAGAUGGACCUGCGUUGUAUUAGCUAGUUGGUGAGGUAACGGCUCACCAAGGCAACGAUACAUAGCCGACCUGAGAGGGUGAUCGGCCAAACUGGGACUGAGACACGGCCCAGACUCCUACGGGAGGCAGCAGUAGGGAAUCUUCGGCAAUGGACGGAAGUCUGACCGAGCAACGCCGCGUGAGUGAAGAAGGUUUUCGGAUCGUAAAGCUCUGUUGUAAGAGAAGAACGAGUGUGAGAGUGGAAAGUUCACACUGUGACGGUAUCUUACCAGAAAGGGACGGCUAACUACGUG